UCUGCCUCGCUUCCUGCUGCUUUACCCAGAUACCCUGGACGGGACAGUUGAGAAAGGACAGAAAUUUCUCGCAUUCUGGAGUCCUGAAGUCCACAGUCAGGGCAACAGCCUCGGCUUCCAGGGCAGCGUCCCCAGAGGGGUCGAACAGCCGUCCUCGGACCGCAGCAGACAUGGAAGGAAGCUCCAGGAGGCUCGGAGAGGCAUUGAUUCUGCCCACAAGGGAGGAGCACUCAAAAUCACUCUCAAAACCCCCAGCUCUUAGGUUAGCACACGGGGGACUCGGAUCCAACCAUAGCACACCUUACAGACUGCCCAGAGGUGACAAAGGGGCCUGGCAAGGUGGUUUUCUUCACCCUUCUAAGUUGUGGACUGGGACCCCCGUAACAGCAGCCAGACUGACGGGAGAAAAGCAAACGGAACUACUAACACAGCAGGAGCUUCGACUCCCCAGUGGGGAAAUGGCGGCACAAAAGAAGGCAGCUUCCGGUGUCCAGGGCGGAAACCGCAGGAAGGAAACACAGCGGGAAGCGGAAGUGACGGAGGGAGUUCUGUGUGCAGAUUUCUCUGCCGGGUCUCUGGGUGGUCCAGGCUCUGGAGUACUCUCCAGGAGAGUUGAAAUCCCGUCUUCCAACACAAGGGGGAGGUAAAGAGAGCGUUUCCUGCGUCAUUGCCUUCAGCUCACAAUAACUCCUAUGUCAAAGAGGUGUAUUUGGGGGUGACACAAUACAGCCACCUCGGGGUUUCAAUGCGUGGAUUUGGGGGACACGGCUCGGUCCAUAGCACCAUCGUUUGACUUGGGUCAUGAAGCCAGGCAGAAGUGGGGAGCUUCCUUUCCCGCCGCCCUUGUAGAGUUCAUUUGGGGUCAAGUCCCAUGGCCAGGGUCAAGCUCCAAGGUCACGACACAGUCACAGCCCUGGUCUAGCUCCUUGUCCAAUACUUGUGCACUUACUGCCCGUCUCCUUGCACCCCUGCCCCACCCUCUCAUGUGCACACCCCUUCUCCACCCUUCUCCAUCCAGCUGUGAGGCCAGGAGGCUGACCUCCGAGGGCCGCUGCACCAAGCUGUCCGUGGCCUCUGGCAGCUGGUGGGAGCCACUGGCUGUGCACCUCCAGAGGGCAGCAGAGAGAGCUGGCCUGUUUCACUCCCCUCUGCCCUCUCGCUGUCCAGCUGUGCGCUGUGUGAGCCGGGCUCCUCCCAACCCCUCUGCUGCCCCAGGUCCUAGCGUGGUCCCUCUCCCUCCUGGUUCCCAUGAGCUGCACCUGCUUCUGCCAGUAGCCCCACCACUCCCUGACCGCAGCUGCCUGAAGCCAUCUCAGAGCUGCCAGAUCCCAGGGCACUCGCCUGUUGCCUUCACAUCUUCUGAGGACUCCUGGAACGUUCGAGAUCGCACCUGCUGCGGGUGAGCUGUGGGAGCCCGGCCCAAGGCAAGGAGGUGUUUCUGGUACCCCCUGCUUCCCGGCGCCAAGCAAACUCUGCCCAGCAUCAGCAGGGACUCCUCUAGACUCUGGAUUGGGGGCAGCUACCUCUGAAGCCCUAGAGUCAGGUCAGUAUCUCAAGUAGGCGAGGGGCCAGGGCUCUUACGAAGGCUGUGGAGCAGGAAGUGGAAGCCAGCCCUCCUGGUCGGGGUGGGGCGGGGGAACCUGGGAGUCGAAGUGCACACCUGGGGCAGGGCAACCCCGCCCAGGAUGGCAGAACCACGGCGCGGCGCGGGAGAACCCAGACAAAGGGCUUGGGGCAGGGGCUUGAGCCCACCCUGGGCUGGUCCUCCAAGGCAGGAGGAGGGGGCUGUCUCUUCAUCUCCCACCCUAACUCUGCCCUGUGUGGGGCAGCAAGCCCUGAGUGGCACACAGAAAGCUCAUGGUGAGAUUCAUGGGAAGCUGGGCUCACAGCACCCAUUGUGCAGGGCUCAGCUGCCUCUCCCGGCCUCUCUGCUGUCAUGGCGACGGCGCGUCUGUUGGCAAGGAGAUGGAGCGGCGGUCUGGCGGGUGGAUUGCCCGUGCCUGGGGACACCUGUAAGGUCGGCCUGGCUGAUUUAUGUGGCUCUUGUUGCUACCUUCUUUCCUACCUUGCCAUUGACGGAGUCGUCUACGCAGUCUCCUUCCUGCCCCAGAAACGCAUGAAGUCAGAACGCCUUUGAGAAGUCCAGGAAACACAGGGAUCAUCCCGGCUGGAAAUGAGCACCCUGCAUUCCUGACCUACCCCAGGGGUCGCGGUGCUGGGAGGACGCCGAGCUGGGGCCACCCUGGGCCAGGUCCUCUGCAGGUGUAGUCAGACAAGGACCCGGAUCGGAAUCCCCUGCAAGGCUCGUGCACCGCGCGUGGUCCCUAAAGCCGCUGAAGGUCCAGGGAGCCGGGAAUCUCCGGGUUUUAUAGGUGUCCCCGCCCAUCUCGACCCACAGAGCACUUUGAGAGGCAUUUCUAGGGAACACCUAAGCCUGGAGCGAAUGUCGCUGUUUCCAGAAUUAUUCAAAUGACUCGGCCAUCAGCCGCUGUCUGCGGUGCUUCUCCCGUCAAUGCAUCAGUGACCUACGCACGGCUCGCCUGGGACUGUGGAUGAAGAGCUUGGGUCCUCCGCCGUCCGGUCUUCACGAACGCUCCCCGAAUCAAGGACGUCACUGCGUUUCAACGUCAGCUCUUGUUUCGGAGGCGUUUUCUCUGACAAAACACUGUGCCGGCUGCACAGCGCUCUGCGGCGUAGCCCGGCCUCGGUAUCGGGGGCUACUCUUGAAGUUUUGUUCACACUGUAAAGAUUAGAUUGGGAGGGAUGGAGAUGAGGUUACGGGCACCAAAUCAGAGAGAGAAGGACACGUUGCUCGUGUCACCCGGCGCAGUGGGUGGCCGGAGCUCCCCAUAGCCAGGAAAUGUUCCCUGAGCCAAUGGAGGGCGAGAUGGGGCCGGCGCCAUGGCUCACUUGGUUAAUCCUCCGCCUGCGGUGCCGGCAUCCCCUGUGGGCACUGGAUUCUGUCCCGGCUGCUCCUCUUCCAGGCCAGCUCUCUGCUGUGGCCCGGGAGUGCAGUGGAGGAUGGCCCGGGUGCUUGGGCCCUGCACCCGCACUGGAGACCAGGAGGAAGCACCUGGCUCCUGGCUUCAGAUCGGCGCGGCUCCGGCUAUAGCGGCCAUUGGGGGAGUGAACCAAUGGAAGGAAGACCUUUCUCUCUGUCUCUCCCUCUCUCACUGUCUAUAACUCCACCUGUCAAAUAAACAUAUAUAUGGAAAAAAAAAAAAAAGAAUAGAAGGCGAGAGUGCAAACGCCCCAGGCAGAAAGUCGUGAGGACAGAGGGAGGAGCCGUUCCCCUGGCCGGACCGUGGCAAGCACAGGCUCUCUGCGCCCCCUGAGCAGGAAUGGUUACUAUUACUGAAACUGUGUUUAAAGAUGUGGAAAUACCUGAUUGGAUCAUUGCAUGUAGAAUGCAGCACGUGUGUUGGCUUAGCACACCGGACCCAUGACUAUGUACGGUUAAAAUAAUAAUAGAGAAAAAUCAGUCAAGUUCUGAAUUCCCCAACAUAACAUCUAUGCAUUAAAGUCGUAGGUUUUCUUUUUUAAAAAAUUUUACCUAUUUAUUUGAGAGGCAGAGAGAGAGAGAGAGA